AUGACAAGUGGUGCCCAAACAGGGACUCGGUAUUCAAGGUCUCCUGUGUUGGAUUCGGUCAGUGGGGAGUGCUGCAAUGGUAGACAACUCCCUUUCCACCAGUUUUUGGAUCCUUCAAGAAGUCAGCUAAACUAUCCACCCUUCGGCCAGCCUGCCUGUCCGUCGGGGGAUCCCGCCUUCAGCUCCGCCCUGUCUCCCUUGUCUCCCUUGCAGUGCGCCCUUUCCACCGCGGGCCACUCGCAGGCACUGGGCCCUGGCAGCAGCGCCCGUGCCGGCACCGAGAGGCCCCGGCAGGUGGGGGACAGCGAUCGUCUCCCCCCUUUCAGCCGCACGGCUUUGCAGCCACCGACAGCUCCGGGGCGGGGUGGCGCUGCCACCGCCGGCGAGCGAGCGCUGCAUCUGUNNNNNNNNNNNNNNNNNNNNGCCCCGGGCGGCGCUGCUGCCGCGGCCCCCGCGCUCGGCUGUCCCCCGACAGCCCCCACAGAAACGGGGGCACAGCGCGGCCGAGCCCCUUUGGAGCGGAGCGGGGCCGCGCUCCCGCCGCAGCUCAAACUCAGCACCGCCUCCGACCAACUCUGCUGCUUGGCAACCAGCAUCUGCCGCCGGGCUGUGAAUUUUGGAUUCACAGAGAACCGCCUGGCUUUGAGCGUGACCUACACAGCUGUAAUGAAGUACUUGGAAUAUUCAAGAUCCUGCUCCUCACUGAAGGAGGAUAGUCCCACAACCGAAGCAGCACAUUUGGGAGACGAUGGAAAACAUCACAGAUUCCCUGCUGCUAGUGCCUGGACAUGGCUGCAAGGACUUUGAGGGCAUGUGUUGCAUGAACUUUCCAGCCACAGUGGGUCAAUACACAGGAGCAUCCAAGUACUGAAGGAAGUGAGUAAAGAAGUCACAAGUUGAAAAUGGAAAUGACUGGUUGAGUGGACUUUUCAAAAACUGGGGUUUGCACCUAGGUUGCUAUCAUUGGUUAAAACAGGUUUGCUUGUUCUUACAGUUAUUUUUGUUGUAUUGUUAAUGUUACCUUGCUUAAUAACUUUUUUUUAAGGGUUGUCAGGAAGUCUAUUCAAGAAAUUUUAAUUGCUCAAAAGGAAGGGGGAUAUGUAGAGAUGGAAUUGGCUUGGCAUCAGCUUAAGACUGUGAGAUGUUAGCAAGCCUGUUCAUAUAAGGUUAUGCUUCCAGAAUGUUCUUAGUUCUCAUCCCUGAUCGAUUGUCGUUUGGCACAUUAUUUUUAAUACUCAUAAUCUCAGUCUGUGAUUGAACCCUGCCUCCAGAUCCACCUCAGAUCUUCCUUACAUAUAUUGUUGUAGCCAUGUUUUUUGCACCUUUUGUGGUUGACCCUAUGCUGUGUGUUUGCCUUCUGCUGUUUGUUAUCUUGCCAUUAAAGCAAUUUUACUUUUCGGGUCACCCAACCGUGCCCGUCCUGUUUAUUUGCCACACCACUCCUGGCUGGCCUGGGUCCAGGGUUGUGAAGCCAAAACUUGACACAAAAUCUUAAGAGUAUCAAUAUUUAGGUGUCAUAGGAUGCUCUUAAGAUGUACAACUCCUUCCUUCAUCUUUUUCCAUGUGUAUGCCAAUAUUGCAUCCCUGUGCUGCACUGCUCAUCCUCAUCCCACAAAGGCCUUUCUCUUCCAUCCCCCUCCAGCUCAGACUCAGCACUCAUUCCCCAAAGCUGAGUGGAGUGACCUGGAGAACGUGAGGACACCCUAAUUCACCUGUUAAUAAGAGAUAAAGAACAUGUACAUACCCUUCCUAUAGGUUUUCCUCAAGUCCAUACUUGCUUUCUUUCAACACACCUUGGAUAUGCCAGCUUUCCUCUCUUACACUGUACUUGAAAUAAAGUUGUGCCAGAUUCUGCUCCA
rnacentral:lncRNA from 1 species